rnacentral:misc_RNA from 1 species
UGUAGCCACUGACUUCAUCAUUAUAUCGCUUUUUAUCUGCUCGAGCCUUUGCUUCAUACGGUUCUUUCUCCUCCGCUGACAAUUGUUUCCACCUGUCUCCAAGAACUUUUCCAACCUCCCCAAAAGCAAUUCCAGGAUUAUUUCUCUUCACAUUCUCUCUUUCCAUUUGCGAGAAGAACAUGAAACCAGACAUUGCCUUCUUUGGUGCAUUUGGAUCCUUCUUCUUCUUCUGUUUUUUCUUCUUGGAUGCAUCCUCAUUUCCAUCUUUGGAUCUCCUCUUAGAUGCUCCCUUAGAAGAUGAGGGCUCUUUUGUAGAUUCCUUUUUCAUGGGCUUCUUUUUCUCAAGUCCACUUUCACUAGCAUCAGAUUCUUCCU